CUGGGGUGGAGGAGCCUGCCUGCCUGCCUGCUGCCUCGUGUCCUCUGCCGGGCCUGGGGCAUGUCCCAGGCCCAGGGCUGGCUGCUGUCCUCCUGCUCCUCUUGCUGGAGUAAGCAGGGCCUGGGGUUUGUUAGCAGCGGCGGCAGCAGCAGGAGCAAGGCUAGGAGGCUGGAAACAAGCCACAUCCCAAAAUCCCUCUGAUAACCAUGGGGCAGGAGGGCCCAGCCAAGCCUCAGCCCUGACAAGCACAGCCUGCAGCUGGCCUCCCUCCCCAUUGGGCCUGGGCUCAGUCCCUGGUUUCCACUGACGGCCUGUAAGGCCCACUCACUCUAGGCUUCGUGGCCCACCUAAGAAGUGGGAGGCUGGCCUAGGAGAUGGGACCCUGUGACUCAGAACCCGAGGCUGAGUACAGCCCCCGUGGCUGGAGGUGGUCACAGAGGCCUGGCAGGAUAGGUGCACUGGGGCAGGGGGAGGUGGUGGGAGUAGAUGGCAGAGGUUGCUGCAGGCUGGCAGGAGGCCCCUGGGACCUCAGUUCUGUGCCAGGAUCUGUCAGGGAACACCAGGGGUGAGCAAGGAUAGAGAUGGGGUGGCAGGGUGUCACCCUGGGCAGGCUCUUUCAUGGGCGUGUGAGGGGGUAAGGGUGGGGUCUCAAGACCUUUCCUCCAGAAACUUCAGCCCAGCAGCGCCCGUUCUCGAAUCCUUGGGUUGGCCAUGAGCAGGUGGGACAGAAACAGCAACAGCUGGAGACGUGUGACCUUCGUUUGGGAGCCGCUCCAGAAACCAAGGCACUCUGCUUGGUUCUGUGUAGACGCUGCACCUACUGGGCCGCUGCUAGCUGCCCACCGUCAACACCCAGUGCUGCUGCUCGUGCUCUCCGCCCAGCCACGGCGCCCGCUCCCGAGGCCAUCAGCGGGUUGCUCGCCACUGACCGUGCCAGGAUGCACAGACCGACCAACAGACCUCAGUGCCCACCAUGGGCUGUGGCGGAGCUCCCGCCUCCUGCGCCCUGAUGGUGCUAACCCCCUCUCACUAUCCAGCGGCAGGCUGGGGACCUCCUCCCCCCUCAAAAAAGCAUGACUUCAUCUUGGAUUUGGAGAAUCUUAAAAGUGAGAAACUCUUCCCCCUACUCCUCUGCCCAAAACUCCACCGCCACAGCACCUCGGCAGGCGCGGCUUUUCACCUGCUCCUCUGGGGCAGAUCUGCAGGGGACAGAGCAGCAAACAAGUCCGUGAGAGCAUGGCGUCUGUAUUACAGUUCCAAAACGUAACUUGAAGGUCAGCACAGGAGCUGCUGUGAUAUAAAAGGAGAGAGUCACCUGGCGCCC